rnacentral:piRNA from 1 species
UACUGAAGAACUUCAAUCCCACAG